rnacentral:rRNA from 1 species
CCCUUAGAUGUUCUGGGCCGCACGCGCGCUACACUGAUGCAUUCAACGAGUCUAAAACCUGCUCUGAUAGGGGUGGGUAAUCUUUUGAAUGUGCAUCGUGAUUGGGAUAGAUGAUUGCAAUUUUUCAUCUUCAACGAGGAAUGCCUAGUAAACGCAAGUCAUCAGCUUGCAUUGAUUACGUCCCUGCCCUUUGUACACACCGCCCGUCGCUCCUACCGAUUGAAUGAUCCGAUGAAUAUCAUGGAUUGAGGAUGCAAGUAGGUUCGCCUAUCUUCAUCUUCGAGAAGUGAAGUGAAUCUUAUCAUUUAGAGGAAGGAGAAGUCGUAACA